GAGGGAUCAAGGGGAGGGUACCAGCUAAAAGGAGGAGGGAAGAUUUAGUAGUUGGGAAGGAUUUGUAUGUGUAGUUUGACUGAGUAAUGCCUCUGAUCCCCCAUUAAAGAAGCCCCAUGACACACCAUUAACACAACGGUUGGAGCUGGGAAAUGCAUGGCAAAAGGACCACUGGAUUUGCUGCAGGUGUGGUCAGGGAAGUAAAGCAGAUUGCAUCUCCUCAACGCUCCCAUCUUCCUCUACCUCAAGAGAUCUGAGAGUUAUCCAGUGAUGCUGAAGAAUAUUCAGAUAACACAGGUACGUGGCGGACAUGAUCACUGUUUUUAUUGUUAUCUGUCCUUUCGAGGUUUGCUGCCUGUGUAGAUUCAUCCAUUUAAAGCUGGUUUGGUGGAUACUGGUGGUGAAUUAAAUGCUGUUGCUGCCCCCAAACUUUCAUCCUCCAUAUCUGCCAUACUAGCAGCAGUCGUGCAUCUGCUACCAAAAUGUAUUUGGAGGGCCUUUGAUGAUUAAGAAGGUCAUGUAACAUCCAUGCGAUGUGAGGAGUAAAGCUGCCUUUGGAAACACAUUUGUAUUUCAAAUAUACAUCCACAGAGAAAAAGGGUUCGAAAGGAUGUUUGAAAUGCUUUGAGUGUUUGAUUAUUUU